AUUGACUGGCCAAAAAAACAAGCAUGCAUGGGGUAAUGUUAAGUGCUCAACAGGAGUAGGAAGACCUUCAAAUCAUAGAAGGCUAAUCACCACCACAAUUCUCAUGCGCAACAGGGGGUAUGUCAGAAAUGUUGGAUCCACUUUUGGAUGAUAAAAAGUGAAACACUUAGGUCCACUCAAUUUCUAGAGGAGAAUAGUAAACCAACCAAAUCGAGCAAAGAUUCCUAGAGGAGAAUAGGAACACAGAUGCUAUAUCUGGGAUGCAUAGAGGAAAGAUGGAGCAGCGAGGGAGGGAACUCGAGUUGAAGGAAGACUCACCGUGUGGUGUUGAAGAUCCAUCUCAUCGGUAUCUUCACUAGUCUGAGACUCUGGUCUAUUAGCACUCCCCCAAAGCGGAUUAUCCUACGUAGACAUCAGAUAUAAUUCUUAAUUACUGGUUUUUGUUUCCAGUAACACACACAGGGUCUCGUGUGUGCAGACUAUCAAGAAUCAGGACCCUUAUGACUUUUGAGCAAAAGGCGGUUGAAAGGGAGACUUACCAAUUUACCAUGCCCUGUUGAAGAUCCAUCUCAUCAGCAUCGUCGUCACUAUUCUCCUGUUACAAAAAAGACUCUGGUCUAUUAGCACUCCCCAGAUAAACUAAAUAUAGACAUCAGAUAUCAUGGAAAUCAAAUAUAAUUCCUAAUAACUGAUUUUUAUUUCCAGUAACCUUCAUUCAGCUCAGCUGUAUCUUGUGCAGUACUAAGAAAACAACCAUGCAAAUAUGCAAUACAGAUCAAUGAUUAAGAGAAUCAUGACAUGCACAAGCUGAGUACAGAAUGUUUUUUUUAGUUAUGGAAUGGUCAGUACCUUCAGUUGAGACUCUUGAGAGCUAUCGGCAGCGGUAAGAGCUUCACGGGCUUGGUAAUCCACCAAGUCGCUCUCUUGAAGUUCUGCAUUG
rnacentral:lncRNA from 1 species